rnacentral:ncRNA from 9 species
CUACCUGGUUGAUCCUGCCAGUA